CAGCAGCCGCGGGAAUACGGAGGGUGCAAGCGUUAAUCGGAAUUACUGGGCGUAAAGCGUGCGUAGGUGGUGGUUUAAGUCCGUUGUGAAAGCCCUGGGCUCAACCUGGGAAUUGCAGUGGAUACUGGGUCACUAGAGUGUGGUAGAGGAUGGUGGAAUUCCCGGUGUAGCGGUGAAAUGCGUAGAGAUCGGGAGGAACAUCAGUGGCGAAGGCGGCCAUCUGGGACAACACUGACGCUGAGGCACGAAAGCGUGGGGAGCAAACAGGAUUAGAUACCCCAGUAGUCCCUGUCUCUUAUAC
rnacentral:rRNA from 1 species